rnacentral:rRNA from 2 species
GUGACCUCAAAUCAGGUAGGACUACCCGCUGAACUUAAGCAUAUCAAUAAGCGGAGGAAAAGAAACUAACAAGGAUUCCCCUAGUAACUGCGAGUGAAGCGGGAAAAGCUCAAAUUUAAAAUCUGGCAGUCUUACUGUCCGAGUUGUAAUCUAGAGAAGCAUUAUCCGCGUUGGACCGUGUACAAGUCUCCUGGAAUGGAGCGUCAUAGAGGGUGAGAAUCCCGUCUUUGACACGGACUGCCAAGGCUUUUGUGAUGUGCUCUCAAAGAGUCGAGUUGUUUGGGAAUGCAGCUCAAAAUGGGUGGUAAAUUCCAUCUAAAGCUAAAUAUUGGCGAGAGACCGAUAGCGAACAAGUACCGUGAGGGAAAGAUGAAAAGAACUUUGGAAAGAGAGUUAAACAGUACGUGAAAUUGCUGAAAGGGAAACGCUUGAAGUCAGUCGCGUUGAUCAGAGAUCAACCUUGCUUUUGCUUGGUGUACUUUCUGGUUUGACGGGUCAGCAUCAAUUUUGAUCAUUGGAAAAAGGUCAAGGGAAUGUGGCAUCUUCGGAUGUGUUUAUAGCCCUUGGUUGUAUGCAAUGGUUGGGAUUGAGGAACUCAGCACGCCGCAAGGCCGGGUU